rnacentral:lncRNA from 1 species
AGUACUUCAGCAUGCUCCAAGCUCAUCAUGUAUUUCCUGCUUUGGCCCUACAAUCAGCACAUUCCUCCUGGGACCCCUGGUUCCUUGGAUUGGAGAAGAGUACCAGAAACCAAGUUCUGGGCAUGAGGCAUGCUUGGGUAGGAUAACAGCACAUACCAGAGCUGAGUCAGGAGCAUUCUCUGAAAGCUGCUGCCAAGCCCCUGCAUCCCUGGACUGAGCGAGCAGGUUGGCACUGCCAUCUGGAACCUCUCUUCUACCUAGACAGCAAGCACAGAAGUGGAACUUUUGGGGAUUCAGUGGAGCUCAACCUCAUAAGCACAGCUCCUAUAAGAUCAGGGAGUCAUGGACGGGUUGCCAUGGACCAUGCCUUUCUACCCAAGCACAAAGAACUUGAUGGGGGUUCUGAGAAUGGAGAAAAGAAGGCUAGCUCCAAGAGCUGCAAGAGUUUUCCAGCAGCAGAAGAAACCAAAUGUGCCCAAG